rnacentral:rRNA from 1 species
GCUUGUCUCAAAGAUUAAGCCAUGCAUGUCUAAGUAUAAGCACUUAUACCGUGAAACUGCGAAUGGCUCAUUACAUCAGUUAUAGUUUAUUUGAUAGUCCCCACUACUUGGAUAACCGUAGUAAUUCUAGAGCUAAUACAUGCAUCAAACCCCGACUCACGAAGGGGUGUAUUUAUUAGAUGGAAACCAAUGCGGGGCAACCCGGUAUAUGGUGAUUCAUAAUAACUUUCGGAUCGAUCUUCGGAUCGAUGCAUCAUUCAAGUUUCUGCCCUAUCAGCUUUGGAUGGUAGGGUAUUGGCCUACCAUGGCUUUAACGGGUAACGGAGAAUUAGGGUUCGAUUCCGGAGAGGGAGCCUGAGAAAUGGCUACCACAUCCAAGGAAGGCAGCAGG